rnacentral:rRNA from 1 species
CCCUUAGAUGUUCUGGGCCGCACACGCGCUACACUGAAGGAGGCAGCGUGUACUCCUGGAUCGAAAGAUUUGGGUAACCCGCGAAUCUCCUUCGUGCUAGGGAUUGAGGUUUGCAAUUAUCCUUCAUGAACGAGGAAUUCCCAGUAAGUGCAAGUCAUAAGCUUGCGCUGACUACGUCCCUGCCCUUUGUACACACCGCCCGUCGCACCUACCGAUUGAAUGGUCCGGUGAAAUCUCGGGACGGCGGCUUGGUCGCUUGCGUCCGACUGCUGAAACUUGAUUAAACCAUAUCAUUUAGAGGAAGGUGAAGUCGUANCA